rnacentral:rRNA from 1 species
GACGAACGCUGGCGGCGUGCUUAACACAUGCAAGUCGAACGGAAAGGCCCUGCUUUUGUGGGGUGCUCGAGUGGCGAACGGGUGAGUAACACGUGAGUAACCUGCCCUUGACUUUGGGAUAACUUCAGGAAACUGGGGCUAAUACCGGAUAGGAGCUCCUGCUGCAUGGUGGGGGUUGGAAAGUUUCGGCGGUUGGGGAUGGACUCGCGGCUUAUCAGCUUGUUGGUGGGGUAGUGGCUUACCAAGGCUUUGACGGGUAGCCGGCCUGAGAGGGUGACCGGCCACAUUGGGACUGAGAUACGGCCCAGACUCCUACGGGAGGCAGCAGUGGGGAAUAUUGCACAAUGGGCGGAAGCCUGAUGCAGCAACGCCACGUGCGGGAUGACGGCCUUCGGGCUGUAAACCGCUUUCGCCUGUGACGAAGCGUGAGUGACGGUAAUGGGUAAAGAAGCACCGGCUAACUACGUG